rnacentral:rRNA from 1 species
ACGUAGGGGGCAAGCGUUGAUCGGAAUCACUGGGCUUACAGCGCGUGUAGGCGGGGCGGCAGGUCUUCUGUGAAAGCCCCCGGCUCAACCGGGGAAUUGCAGGGGAAACCGCCGCUCUUGAGGCAGGUAGAGGUGACCGGAACGUGUGAUGGAGCGGUGAAAUGCGUAGAUAUCACACGGAACGCCGGUGGUGAAAACGGGUCACUGGGCUGAUUCUGACGCUGAGGCACGAAAGCGUGGGGAGCAAACGG